rnacentral:rRNA from 1 species
GCAUAUCAAUAAGCGGAGGAAAAGAAAAUAACAAUGAUUCCCUUAGUAACGGCGAGUGAAGGGGGAUAAGCUCAAAUUUUAAAUCUGGCUAGGUUUUACCUAUCAGAGUUGUAUUUUGAAGAAGCGUUUUCCGCGUCUCGGUUGGCCCAAGUCCUUUGGGAUAAGGUAUCAUGGAGGGUGAGAAUCCCGUUCGGUUGACCUUAUGACGCUUUACGAUACGCUUUCAAAGAGUCGAGUUGUUUGGGAUUGCAGCUCAAAAUGGGAGGUAAAUUUCUCCUAAGGCUAAAUAUCGGCGAGAGACCGAUAGCGAACAAGUACCGUGAGGGAAAGAUGAAAAGAACUUUGAAAAGAGAGUAAAAUAGUACGUGAAAUUGUUGAAAGGGAAACGAUUGAAGUCAGUCGUACCGACGAGAAAUCAGCUCUUCGAGUGCGAUCUUGUGGGCGUGCGUGAGUCUUUAACGGGCCUCGCUGUUUGCAAUGUUUGUGCUUCUUGGGUGUACUUUUUCGUAUGGUAGGCCAACGUCAGUUUCGACUACCGUAAAAUGAUCGGAGGAAUGUAGCUUCGAUCUCGUAUUGAAGUGUUAUAGCCUCUGGUAGAUGCGGUGAUCGAAACUGAGGAUUGCAACGAAUACCCUUUGGGCUAUCCGUCUGACCUCUGAAAGUUACUUAGGUGCUGAAAGCGUGCUUACGGUAUUUAAGUUGACGGUCAACAGGUUAGAACGUGAUUACAUUCGUUAAGGACGCUGACGUAAUGGCUUUAAACGAC